GGGGGACGACGGGCAGCUGCCGCAGGCAUGUCCUGCGGAGGAAAGUCCGAACUCCACAGAACGGCACGCUCGCUAACGGCGAGGCGGCAAGGAGGCGGAUCGGUCCCCGAUCCGCACCGAGCCGACGGAAAGUGCAACAGAAAACAAACCGCCGCGGCUCGUCCGCGGUAAGGGUGAAACGGUGGGGUAAGAGCCCACCAGCGUUCCGGGUGACCGGCCGGCUGGCAAACCCCGUGCGGAGCAAGAUCAAGCAGAAGCGGGACACGCAGGUGUGAGAGGCUGUUCGUCUCUCAGGGUCCGCCCACCCGCUUCGGGUAGAUCGCCCGAGGGCGGCGGCAACGUCGCUCCCAGAUAAAUGGCUGCCUCCCCGCCUAUGGCGGGAAGACAAAAUUCGGCUUACAGGAGUCUUCCCGUG
rnacentral:RNase_P_RNA from 3 species